CCCGCUGAACUUAAGCAUAUCAAUAAGCGGAGGAAAAGAAACCAACAGGGAUUGCCUCAGUAACGGCGAGUGAAGCGGCAACAGCUCAAAUUUGAAAUCUGGCUCUCUUAGGGCCCGAAUUGUAAUUUGUAGAGGAUGUUUCGGCAUUGGCUCCGGUCUAAGUUCCUUGGAACAGGACGUCACAGAGGGUGAGAAUCCCGUAUGUGAUCGGUUGCUUUUGCCAUGUGAAACUCCUUCAACGAGUCGAGUUGUUUGGGAAUGCAGCUCUAAAUGGGAGGUAAAUUUCUUCUAAAGCUAAAUACUGGCCGGAGACCGAUAGCGCACAAGUAGAGUGAUCGAAAGAUGAAAAGCACUUUGGAAAGAGAGUCAAAAAGUACGUGAAAUUGUUGAAAGGGAAGCGCUUGCAACCAGACCUGCCUGCAGUUGCUCAUCCGGGCUUUUGCCCGGUGCACUCUUCUGCUGUCAGGCCAGCAUCAGUUCGGGCGGUCGGAUAAAGGCUUCGGGAAUGUAGCUCCUCUCGGGGAGUGUUAUAGCCCGUUGCGAAAUGCGGCCAGCUUGGACUGAGGUCCGCGCUUCGGCUAGGAUGCUGGCGUAAUGGUUGUAAGCGGCCCGUCUUGAAACACGG
rnacentral:rRNA from 1 species